UUUGCAUUUAAGUUUUAACUGAAAAUUGUUUUUAAAUAUUUUGUAUUAAGAAUAAAGUUGUUCAGAUAGUUAUUGUUUGAUUGUUUCCGUUACUGACUUAUUCAGUAUUUUCCAAAUACUAGUUAUCAUAUAAAGAUUUUCGUUCUAAUUAUGAUUGCAAUACAGCAGACAAUGAAAGCCAUGGUGAGACAUGAAUUCGCGAUUAUAUCAGUUUGGAAAAUAUAAACAUCCUAUGAUGAAAAUGGACUAGAAGAUACUGAUAAUAAUAAUUGUUUUAUUCAACAUGCAAAUACAGCAGAUCACUCAAGGGAUGCUGAAACAUUGUUUGGUAUUCAAACAACUCUGGAAAAGUAUGAACAUCCAACUUUGAAAAUGAACUAACGAAUACUGAUUAUAAUGAAUUUAUGCAAUUUACAUAUUGCAAUACAGCAGACAAUGAAAGCCAUGGUGAGACAUGAAUUCGCGAUUAUAUCAGUUUGGAAAAUAUAAACAUCCUAUGAUGAAAAUGGACUAGAAGAUACUGAUAAUAAUAAUUGUUUUAUUCAACAUGGCAAUACAGCAGAUGACUCAAGGAAUGCUGAGACAUUUAUUUGUAUGCAUACAACUUUGGGAAAGUAUGAACAUCCAAUGUUGAAAAUGAACUAAAAGAUACUGAUUAUAAAGAAUUUAUGCAAUAUGCAAAUACAGCAGAUCACUCAAGGGAUGCUGAAACAUUGUUUGGUAUUCAAACAACUCUGGAAAAGUAUGAACAUCCAACUUUGAAAAUGAACUAACGAAUACUGAUUAUAAUGAAUUUAUGCAAUUUACAUAUUGCAAUACAGCAGACAAUGAAAGCCAUGGUGAGACAUGAAUUCGCGAUUAUAUCAGUUUGGAAAAUAUAAACAUCCUAUGAUGAAAAUGGACUAGAAGAUACUGAUAAUAAUAAUUGUUUUAUUCAACAUGGCAAUACAGCAGAUGACUCAAGGAAUGCUGAGACAUUUAUUUGUAUGCAUACAACUUUGGGAAAGUAUGAACAUCCAAUGUUGAAAAUGAACUAAAAGAUACUGAUUAUAAAGAAUUUAUGCAAUGUACGUGUAAUGGUUAUUAGAUGCAAAUACAGCAGAUCACUCAAGGGAUGCUGAAACAUUGUUUGGUAUUCAAACAACUCUGGAAAAGUAUGAACAUCCAACUUUGAAAAUGAACUAACGAAUACUGAUUAUAAUGAAUUUAUGCAAUUUACAUAUUGCAAUACAGCAGACAAUGAAAGCCAUGGUGAGACAUGAAUUCGCGAUUAUAUCAGUUUGGAAAAUAUAAACAUCCUAUGAUGAAAAUGGACUAGAAGAUACUGAUAAUAAUAAUUGUUUUAUUCAACAUGGCAAUACAGCAGAUGACUCAAGGAAUGCUGAGACAUUUAUUUGUAUGCAUACAACUUUGGGAAAGUAUGAACAUCCAAUGUUGAAAAUGAACUAAAAGAUACUGAUUAUAAAGAAUUUAUGCAAUGUACGUGUAAUGGUUAUUAGGUAUAGUUAAUAGAAAAUUAAUAGCAAUGUAUCUAAAAGUUACUCAAAUGCUUCCCUGACCAUAAUAUUAAUUAAAUUAUUUAAUUUAUUAUUAUUAACUUGCAUACAUUUCAUUUAAGCAGAUACUUUAUAAACACUAUAAAACAUGAUUUUAUAUGAUAAUUUUGACGAAUAAUAUAUAUUUAUUUUUUGAACUGCUUAUAAAACACACAAUUCUCAAGUUAAUCUCUUGAAACCUUGACCAC